AACGAACGCUGGCGGCAUGCCUAACACAUGCAAGUCGAACGAGACCUUCGGGUCUAGUGGCGCACGGGUGCGUAACGCGUGGGAACCUGCCCUUAGGUUCGGCAUAACUCCCCGAAAGGGGUGCUAAUACCGGAUAAUGUCUUCGGACCAAAGAUUUAUCGCCUUUGGAUGGGCCCGCGUUGGAUUAGCUAGUUGGUAGGGUAAAAGCCUACCAAGGCGACGAUCCAUAGCUGGUCUGAGAGGAUGAUCAGCCACACUGGGACUGAGACACGGCCCAGACUCCUACGGGAGGCAGCAGUGGGGAAUAUUGGACAAUGGGCGAAAGCCUGAUCCAGCAAUGCCGCGUGAGUGAUGAAGGCCUUAGGGUUGUAAAGCUCUUUUAACCGGGAUGAUAAUGACAGUACCGGGAGAAUAAGCGCCGGCUAACUCCGUG
rnacentral:rRNA from 1 species